AGUGAACGCUGGCGGUAGGCCUAACACAUGCAAGUCGAACGGCAGCACAGUAAGAGCUUGCUCUUACGGGUGGCGAGUGGCGGACGGGUGAGGAAUACAUCGGAAUCUACUUUUUCGUGGGGGAUAACGUAGGGAAACUUACGCUAAUACCGCAUCCGACCUACGGGUGAAAGCAGGGGAUCUUCGGACCUUGCGCGAUUGCAUGAGCCGAUGUCGGAUUAGCUAGUUGGCGGGGUAAAGGCCCACCAAGGCGACGAUCCGUAGCUGGUCUGAGAGGAUGAUCAGCCACACUGGAACUGAGACACGGUCCAGACUCCUACGGGAGGCAGCAGUGGGGAAUAUUGGACAAUGGGCGCAAGCCUGAUCCAGCCAUACCGCGUGGGUGAAGAAGGCCUUCGGGUUGUAAAGCCCUUUUGUUGGGAAAGAAAAGCAGCAGGUUAAUACCCCGCUGUUCUGACGGUACCCAAAGAAUAAGCACCGGCUAACUUCGUG
rnacentral:rRNA from 1 species